AUAAAAAUUAAUAAACGGUGAUUAAUGAGGAGUUGUUUCCUCGCCUUUUUUUUACCUACUGUAGUAAUUGUUAAUUGUGUUU
rnacentral:misc_RNA from 1 species